ensembl:lncRNA
GUACGUAUGGGGGAAUGUUACAGAAUUUCAAUAGGACCAGUUUAACUAUGAACAGCAAGGCAGCUGAGAUAGAGGGAAAAACAGCUUCCCGAAUGAAAUGGUGACCAUGUCUGCCCUUAUUUAUUUAUUAGCAAUGCAUGUGCAUAAGGAUGAUAUUAGUGGUCUUUGCCAGGUACUGCUUCUCUAAACCACCUCCCAGUAAAUGCUUUGCUGUGGACAGGGGUGGUUUCUGGUGUUUUUUUCCCUUUUUUUCUGCAGUUGUAAUGAUGCUUGGGGCAGAGCCUCCUAGAAAACACAAUGAUCCUCCCACCAGUGAAGAAAUGAGAUGUCAUGGAAAUUAUAACCACAAGUGGCAACUACACUCAGAGCAUAGGGGACCUGGAAGGCCACAGUCUGUUUCUCCACUGUUUAUGUUCAGAAGUCUACUUGUCCAGCCUCCUGCUUGCUGUGAAACCCUUCCAGCCUCGAAUCUGUGUUAACUGUAUAGAUAUCUUUAAAAUAUCAGAAGAAUGGCUUUUGGAAGGACAAAAAACUGUAUUUAAGGCUGCAUUGCGUUUCUUUACGUCUUUCUUGUUGCUCAGUUAUUUUGUUUUCUGUGACUCAAGGCCUAAGAUUCACUGUACCAUUUGACACAUUUAGCUUCACAAAAGAGCCCCAUGGCUUGUAAUUAAUAAGAGAUGCUAUAAUCAUA